UUGCAGCCAUACCAUGUUGAAAUACCAGUUCUUAUCCAAUCACUGAAGUUAAAGAACAUAGAGCCUGAUCAGUACCUAGAUGGGUCACGUAUUGAGAAUUUCAGGUGCUGUAA